UUGAAGAUGGAGUAAUUUGGUAACUUAAUGGUCUCAUGAGCCAUAGAUGUAGGUUCGAGUCCUACUCUUCCAA
rnacentral:tRNA from 1 species